CUACCGGAAGCGUUGAGAGCCCCGCCCUUCUACCGGGCCCCCGAGUGCCUUCCAAGAACUACGAUUCCCAGCCUUCCGUGCGCCACAGGAUCCGCCCCGCGGGGCGCCACUUGGACGUGCGGCGUGGGGAUUUGGGCUGCUGUAGUUGAUGGAGGGCUGUCAGCCGGCUACUACUCGCACAGCGGAACACAUAACAGAGGCAUCUCAAUAGCCAGACGGGCUGUGAGGUAGAGGUGACAUCCAUCACAAUGUUCCCCUCACCUUGCCUCUGCAACCAAGCACCUGCAGAGUUCUCAGCAAACAGCGGCCUGGCCUUGCUUCAGCUCAGCUGCAUCCAGGCUUCCCGCAGCUGCCUGGCUGUCACCAUUCCCUGCCCAGGAAAGCAUGGAAAUGCACCUCCUGUCGGUGACGGUCCCAUUCAGAAAUAUGAUGAAUGUGGUCAGAAGUGGCCGAAGCCUGAGUUAGAUCUAAACUUUCAUCCUGCUGUCGAGGACGACAAACUGAUGGUUUAUUUUUGUCCCAACAACAAGGAAGCGACUCAGAUAGUGCCCGUCUUACAGAUGAAGAAACUGAAUCUCAAUAUGGAACAGGCCCAAGCUCCACAAUUCAUCAGAACCUCAGUUCCAAUCCAGACCUGUUUGACAGCAAUGACGUGAUUAGGGUUGGAUCUGUUUGAUGGAGACAAAAGUACCCUGCUUGUCCAUCGGGAUACAUCAGCUUCACUGGACUAAGAGAUGUCUAGCAGGUCCUAGCUGUGUCUGGGUGGGCCACGGAGGCUCAAUCUUGGGAACUGUAUAUGGUGCCCUGCCCUCUUCCUUCCUGAUGUGGUUCUCCUGUUCUGCUCCCCAGAUGAUGUGAACUAAGCAUCUCUGCUCUGCCACACCCUCUGCCAUGAUGUCUCUGCCUUGGAGCCAACCCAGCACAGACUGCCUCUUCUGAAACCAUAGCCUCUCCUCCUUUAAGCUGUGGGUGUCAAACAUCCGUCUCAGCAAUGGGAAAGCUGAAUACAGCUGCUAUGAGAAUCAGGUGAACUCAUGAAGAUAAAAAUGAAACAGAAGAACCGUCACCGAAGAAGGGAAGGCAUCAUCUUAUUCAUCUUUGUAUCCCUAGUGCCUGACACAUGGUUGGUGACCAAUAGCGUUUUAAAAAAAUUAUGAAUGUGUGAGUUAAUAAAUGGGUGAAUGAAUAAGGAAAUAAGCCCCAGCAUAGGUGCCUAGAACACAAGAGGUAUUGGACAAAUGGUUCUUUUUUCCCCUUCACUCUGAAGGGUGGAGGGCCUGUUUGCAGUCUGCCUGGCAGUGUGGGGGCCUUGAUAACUGUGUGGGUGGAAUCCCUGGCUUUCAGGAGCUCUGAGCCUUUGAGGCCUCAAGGAACUACUUGCCUUUUCAGCCACAAAUAGAGGCUGGGGUUCCUGUGGUUAAGGCUUCCCUCCCCAGCAGGGUAAGGGCCACCCAUCCUCCUCACUGCCCAGCCCUAGCUGUUAGCCAGACUCGGCGGCUAGCAGCUGCGUUCUAGUCCUCCACCCUGCCUUGCUCUCUGUGCCUGCUCUGGGGUUCCAACCUCAGUCCCCCGUCUCUGGGGGAGUGAGUGAAUGAGUGUCUGUAGACAAAUGCCUGGCACAGAGUGGUUACUUAAUAAAUAUUCUUGGUGUGGGAAAAUGAAUAAAUAAAAACGACUGAAGGAAGAGACAG